CCGGGGCCGGGGCCGGCGCGCGCGCUGUGGGCGGGGCUUCGCCAGCCUCUCAGGGCCCCGCCUUGUCGGUGGCUUAACGCGCUGCUGGUUGAGAGAUCCCUUCUUUGAAUGCGCUUCUUGCUUCUUCUUAACUCACCCCACCUCCAAUCCCGUAAUCAGGGCUCACCCCAGGCUUUGCCCUCUGUCCCUCUUCUCUAUUUCCAAUUAACUCCCUAAGGAUCCUUCUACACCCAAAAGCCUUCCCUGACCUAUAUCCACCCCUAAGAACAGGGACCAUACUGGGCUCCCGUUCAUGCACUGGUAAAAGCAUUUAGGCACUGUUCUAGGCACUGAAUACAGCAAUGAACAAGACAUACAAAUCCCCACCCUCCUGGAGUUCAUCUUCUAGUGGGAGUUAGUAGAAGGCAGUAAGUGCUUUGGAGAAAAUAACAGAAGGGAAGGAAAAUAGAACUGGGGGGGGGGCGGGGCGGUGACAUUUCUUAAUAAGUGGUCAAGGAAUGCAUCAGGUGAUUUGAGCAAAGAGCUUAAAGGUGAGGAGUGAGGCAUGCACCUACGUGGGGGGAAAGAAUUCUAGGUAGAGAGGAUUAAUAGGUGCAAAGGCCCUGAGGCAGGAAGGGCAUGGAGGGUUGGAGAUGCAGAGAGGGGUGUGAUUGGGGCAGAGUUAGCAGGGAAAGUGGAAGAGGAGGAGAGCAGGGAGGUAACAUGGGAAAUUGCGCUGGGCCUUCUGUGCCAUGAGGAGGACUUUGCCCUUUACUCGGAGUGAGAUGGAGCUAUGGAAGUUUCCUGAACGGAGAAGGGAUGUGAUCUGACAGGGGAUCACCGUGCAUGUGGGAAACAGUGUGGAAGUAGCCAUGAGAGCAGGAAGACCAAGGAGGGGCCUAAGGCAGUGGAUCAGGCAGCAGAUGAGGAUAGACAAGGUCAGGGUGUAGGCAGAGGAAGGAGUGAGGAGUGAGCAGAGUCUACUUAAGGGUAGGGGAAUUUUGUGCUUUGUAAUUUAAUGAUGUUAAUAUUCAUCCCGCAAAGCCAAACAAGUGCUACUAUGAGAAAUUACUAAAAACCUGCAGGAGAAUGCACCGGUCUGUUCCAUUCAUUGCUGUAUCGCUCUGUGCCUACAACUGGGCCUGGCACAGAGAAGGUCCUCAGUAAAUGUUACCAAGUGAAUGAAAAAACCCAUGCUGUUUAGCGUUCUAUGUGCGGGGUGUUCCAGCCACACAGAAGCAUUUCCGAAAGUCUGUUUAAAUAGUAAGAUGGAGAAUCUGCUGAGUUCAUUCGGGAUUUCUGGAGGCUGUGUAAUAAUCAGAUGGCUCCAGUUGGGGAUCAUGUCACCUACUUCUUAUGGAUUUUUACUAUUUCCCUUCCAAUUAACAGGAUCUUUUUUUAAAGGACGAAAAUACUGAGAGGACAGGGCAGAUUUAGAGUUGCCAGCCCUAUUUUCUGGAAUCCUGGCACCAUCUCCUGGCUCUGAGGCGUUUCACCUGCCAGCUUGCUCCGCAGACCUGAAAUUGGCAAUACCGACUGAGCACCUACCCCGACCUUCUGCUUCCCAUGAAGGCCCCAGCGCCCCUGCCCCAAGCGGCCUGGCUUCCAUGCUACAUCCCUCACCAUGCAGAGAAGUCCUGCGCUCUCCAGCUCUCCAAUGUUGCCUUCUGGGAGUCAUGCCCAUCAUUGGACUGGUCCCCGUCAAAGUUUCCGCAGGCCCCACACAGCUUCCCAGCAUGGUCACUGCUGACCAUCACGGCCAGCUGCCCAUUGGUGCCAAGCCACACCUGGACCCCUGCCUUCUGCUGGACUAGCACAGAGCCAUCGGGGUUCUGACGCACGGACACAGAUGUUAAUACCUCAGCUGGGAGAGCCACUUGGAGACCGUUGACCUGGUGGUGGUUGAGGAAAACACAGAGUGUUACCAGGAUGGAGACUCCAAGCAAGACAAGAAGUUCAAGGAGCAAAAAAAGAGACACAGGUGCUGAAAGCGAUGAAGAUGUGGAUGGAUGCACUGAAUGGAAAGAUGUAUACACAGCUAGCUGGGGAUUUGGGCAGAGGUUCAAAGGACAGAGGACAGAUGGACAAAGAGACGCAUCAGUGGAUAAAUGGUCAUGCACAAAGCAUUCUAAGGGCAGCCAGGAUGGUGGGGAGCACUUUAUACCAGACAGAUAAAUACAUGAUCAAACCCCAGCAUCAUCCUGUUCUACUUUUCAAAAUAAAAGAAGCUUUACGCAUGUCCUGUAAGUUAUUGGUUCUCUAACAAAAGCAAUUGCAUGACUUAAUUUUUCAAUGCUGAUGUCUAAAGACAAGUAACGACCUGGAAAGUAUCACAGUUAUGUGAGAAAAGUCCUGUUUCUCUGUCAUAAGCUGUGGACUCAGUAACCUUGGUAACCCUAUCUGGGUUUUUCCUUUAAAUAACUGUUGUCUCUUUUCACCGAUGAGUUAAUCCUUAUAAAGUGAGACUCUCUGGAAAA